rnacentral:rRNA from 1 species
CCUACGGGAGGCAGCAGUGAGGAAUAUUGGUCAAUGGACGAGAGUCUGAACCAGCCAAGUAGCGUGAAGGAUGACUGCCCUAUGGGUUGUAAACUUCUUUUAUAAAGGAAUAAAACGAGGCACGUGUGCCUUUUUGCAUGUACUUUAUGAAUAAGGAUCGGCUAACUCCGUGCCAGCAGCCGCGGUAAUACGGAGGAUCCGAGCGUUAUCCGGAUUUAUUGGGUUUAAAGGGAGCGUAGAUGGGUUGUUAAGUCAGUUGUGAAAGUUUGCGGCUCAACCGUAAAAUUGCAAUUGAUACUGGCAGUCGUGAGUACAGUUGAGGUAGGCGGAAUUCGUGGGGUAGCGGUGAAAUGCUUAGAUAUCACGAAGAACCCCGAUUGCGAAGGCAGCUUACUAAACUGUGACUGACAUUGAUGCUCGAAAGUGUGGGUAUCAAACAGGAUUAGAUACCCUUGUAGGC